rnacentral:rRNA from 1 species
GUAGGGAAUCUUCCACAAUGGACGAAAGUCUGAUGGAGCAACGCCGCGUGAGUGAAGAAGGUUCUCGGAUCGUAAAACUCUGUUGUGAGGGAAGAACAAGUACCGGAGUAACUGCCGGUACCUUGACGGUACCUCAUUAGAAAGCCACGGCUAACUACGUGCCAGCAGCCGCGGUAAUACGUAGGUGGCAAGCGUUGUCCGGAAUCAUUGGGCGUAAAGCGCGCGCAGGCGGUCCCUUAAGUCUGAUGUGAAAGCCCACGGCUCAACCGUGGGGGGUCAUUGGAAACUGGGGGACUUGAGUGCAGAAGAGGAAAGCGGAAUUCCAAGUGUAGCGGUGAAGUGCGUAGAGAUUUGGAGGAACACCAGUGGCGAAGGCGGCUUUCUGGUCUGUAACUGACGCUGAGGCGCGAAAGCGUGGGGAGCAAACAGGAUUAGAAACCCUAGUAGUCC